AUCCAGCGGAUAAGUCUCAAAUAGGACGAAAUGUGCAUCCUGGAU
rfam:Schistosoma curassoni strain Dakar, Senegal genome assembly, scaffold: SCTD_contig0001202